GACGAACGCUGGCGGCGUGCUUAACACAUGCAAGUCGAACGACGAAGCUGGAGCUUGCUCCGGUGGAUUAGUGGCGAACGGGUGAGUAACACGUGAGCAAUCUGCCCUUGACUCUGGGAUAACUGCGGGAAACUGUAGCUAAUACCGGAUAUGAGGCUCGAAGGCAUCUUCGGGUCUGGAAAGAAUUUCGGUCAAGGAUGAGCUCGCGGCCUAUCAGCUUGGUGGUGAGGUAAUGGCUCACCAAGGCGACGACGGGUAGCCGGCCUGAGAGGGUGACAGGCCACACUGGGACUGAGACACGGCCCAGACUACUACGGGAGGCAGCAGUGGGGAAUAUUGCACAAUGGGCGAAAGCCUGAUGCAGCAACGCCGCGUGAGGGAUGAAGGCCUUCGGGUUGUAAACCUCUUUUAGCAGGGAAGAAGCGAAAGUGACGGUACCUGCAGAAAAAGCACCGGCUAACUACGUGCCAGCCGCCGCAGUAA
rnacentral:rRNA from 1 species